rnacentral:tRNA from 1 species
GAGAAAGACAUAGUGGUUAUGAUGUUGGCUUGAAACCAGCUAUGGAGGGUUCGAUUCCUUCCUUNCUUA